CAGCCCCUAAGAUUUGUGAAAAAUAUUUUUUUCAAAGCUAAACUUACAUAUUCGAGUUUUGUGUAUUGGAUAUGCAGCUUAUAGGGCGAUUCGGCAUUGCGAAGCAACGGCAGCCAGGAGGAAACUGGCAGUGACUUUAAACCUCGUUCAUACCAACUGGAGCUGUUCAACACUGCCCUAAAUAAGAAUUCGAUACUCGUUCUCGGAAGUGGGUCAGGCAAGACAUUCAUCUCAAUCCUCCUGAUUAAAGAAUUGGGGCAUCAAGUGAAUUGCAAAAACAGAAAAUUCAAGGGUCCCUGAAAGGAGGAAGCAAA